rnacentral:lncRNA from 1 species
AUGAAUAUAGGGGAUAGACAAUUACUCACAUACACCCAUGGAGAAUAUAGGAGUAGUCCUAUGUGUGAGAAAGGCUAAGUCCUCCUACAUAUGGAUAGAAAGAAUAUAGGCACAAUCAAAGAGCCGACUCUAGAGGAAUCCUAUAUUUGAGUAUAGACUAGAUGCAAAUGAAUAGAGACUACAAGAGGACUCCGGUAUGGCUAUAUAGAGGACGGAGAAGUUAUUUAUAGGAAGGUAUGAAGUGUCAGUGAAUCUGUAGAGUAUGCCCGUACCCCCAUAUAUGGAUAGAGAGAGGAAAUACAUGAGUACUUCGGGAAGCGGAAGGACUCGGGGACGUGAAAAUGCAAAUGAAACCCAAAUGGCUUUAUUAGGGGGACAGAGGGAUGGACACACAGGCUGAUUGGGGCGGAGGUACCGCUCCAGUUUCGGGUCCUCCUCCCAGCCUGUGGAGUGUCUGGAAUGGUUGCACAGUCACAUAAAGGCGAAUUGUCGGGUUCUAUAGGGGGCGGGGAAGGAGGAAGGGGGUUGCUGGCGCGUGUGGUACAGUUGAAAUGAAGGGACCCCGAUGGGCCAACGGUUAGUGGGACGUCACAGCGCGAGGCCAGUGGGCGGGGUGGAGUAGGGUGACGUGAUGGUUCUUGUCUCACAAAGGCGGGCGCUACGUCACAGAACCUCACCCCUCAGCGGGCAGUCAACUUUGCCCACACUCAGCUCUGCUCAGCUCAUAUUCCUCGAGUGGAGGGAAGAGGUGGAGGGUGGAGAUCUGGCAGAGUGAAAAAGUCCAGGGGCCUGCCCAAUGCCCACCUGAGGCUCAUACUCCUUCCUAAACCUGGGUUUCAAGGAACCACAAGAUAACAAGACACACAAGAAACCUCCAAUCUACUUUAGAUAGAAGAAAAUGGUCCCAGGCUGGACCUCAUCAAACCUUCACCCUACACAGCCUUCGACUGUAAAGGAAACCAAAAAGAUGUGCCGCCGAGAGCAUCACUGCCCUAAGGGCAGGUCCAAAAGGAUUCAAGCUAGUCCUAAUAAGCAGAAGAGCUCUCGGAAGGCCUCUUCUAGAAGCCGGUUGUCAUCUUCACUGAGAUUUGGGCAAACUUCUCAUAGACCUAGCAGGGUUCUUCGAGCCAGGAGGAGAGAGGCUCUUCCACCACCUUUCCAGAUCAACCUUAAGGGACUCACCAAGAUCAUCUCCCUGCUGCAGAUUGCCUAAAGAAGGAGGGGAUGAGGCCAAGAACCAAAUGAAGUUGUCAUUAAAAUGCCUCCACUAUCCAAUAACAGUGUCAGCAGUAACUGUGCAGCAAUUCCAGCCACUGACUGAUGAAAGCAAAACCAGAAAAGAUGUGACCUAUAAUAAAAGCUGCUUCAACCUCCCUUGUUCGGGCCUG